rnacentral:lncRNA from 1 species
CAAAAUUCCAGACCCCAACAUUCUAGACUUCCACAUUCCACAACUAAACAUUGUAGAACCCCAAAUUCCAGAGCCCAACAUUCUAGUACCCAAAAUUUCAAAACCCAACAUUCUAGAACCCAACAUUGUAGAACCCUACAUUCUGGAUCAAAGCAUUCCAGUAUCAAGCAUUUCAGAAUGGGGAUUCAAGAACCAAGCAUUCCGUAAGCCUCCUUCAUUGUUGCAAUGCUAAAAGUUGUGUUUCUCUUCUUAAAAUUAUUAAUUUUCCCUCAAGGAGACUGACCAAUCAGAGCUGUCCUGGUGUGCUGUUCAGAACAGCUUAAAGUCCCCUCCUUAAAUGGAUUAAUCCAUCACAGCUUUACCUGAAACCCCAGACUACAUUUAAUGUGGCUGUCGAAGACUUUACCCUUACAUUCGUUUAUAAAAACGAAAAAAGGCUUAAUGCUACCUCUUUAAGGUGACUUUUUAAUACCACACUGUGAAAUACUUCACCUUCCUCAGUCAUUUAACCGUCCAAUCACACGAACUGAGUCAAAGUUCUAAUAAAAUUGAAUGUUUUAUUUGAAAAAUAUUUCGUUAAAAAUAUUAGGGCAGACUUUUUUGUCUCAGUUGAGCUCUGACAACAACACAACCUUAACACUAAACCAAAAACUCCCUGAACAUGAAGGUUAGUGAUUAAUUAUUAGUCACAUUUUUAGGCUUUUCUCCACAUUUUUAAAUAUUUUCUGCUAAAACUUUAAUUUUAAAACAUAGAAAGCCCAGAUUUGUGUUACUUCUUUCUACCUUAAUUUGCAGAGAGUUAUGUAACUUUGAGCCUUCAAUAGCAGUAAUCUUUCUCAUUAAGGUCGUUUUUAGACCCCUUGGUUUUUUUUGGGAGGGGGUUGGGACUCUUACUCUAAAGACGCUGUCAUGCACAAGGCAAAAAUCAGUUCAGAAACGUUUAAACUCAGAGUUGAAGCUGCUGGUGGGUCAUUGAAAAGCAGUAAGGUUUUCUCUUUGUCGAUGGAAAAAAUAAUCAGGAUAAAGUUUCAGUCUGUGAAACCCUUCAGAGCCUCAGUGUCUGAGCUGGAGUCCAGAGCCACAAACCUGAACCGCCUCUUAAUAAUACAGGAGCUGAAACUGAUCUGAGACCAGCAGACAGCUGCUUCAUUUCGGAAUUUAGACCCUUUUUUACUCCCUCCACCAGAGACAGCGCCGUGCAGCUCCAUUUAUUUAUUAGAAGAUAAAAAUGAAUUUGCAUCAGAAAGACUCUGUAUUUCAAAACCUCCACAUGAAUCCUCUCCGAUCACCGUUUGCUGUGAAAGUUUGAGGCAUGAGUCAGCAGGUGUUUAGAGGACUUCAGGAAUCAGUUUAUCUUUUCAUAAAACCACAAAGUGUGUUUUUUAAGUUAACCCUUUGUUUGACCAUAUGAUUAUUGAAGCUUAUCAGAUCAGAGAGCUUCUGCAUGCUGAGUAGAGGAGUUUUUAUCCAGCUGAGUAAAAGUCAGGCAGAGAGCAUGUUUAUAACAGGAACUUAAACUCACAAACUUUACACAUUCCAUAUUAAUUAACAGUGGAGACAGAUAUUAAGAACGUCUACUAAAAAACUUUUAAAGACAUGGGUUUCUUAUCUGACAACUUUGUACACAGAAAGGUCUCAAAAGAGGUGAAAGUUUAGUUUACAACUUACAAAAGUACCCAGAAGUUUUAGACAAUUUCUUAUCGAUGGCAGAAACACCAAUAUGAUAACAGACACAGGAGCGUUUUAACUGAACAUACUACAUUAAAACAAGAACAAAGAACAACACAUUUCAGCACUUAUCUAAAAUCACGUCUUUCUCAUUCACAUGCAGUCAAGGAUAAGAAAUGUUCCUCUUCUUCUGGAACUUUUUGGUUGGAAGGAUGUUGUUUCUGGACCGUGGCACAGUUCUGGUCCCUGUCUGUAAAGGUUCCCAGUCCUUUAGGGAGAGCCUCUGCAGUGUGAACGUGUCUUAACUGAGAAACAUUUGAAUUGUUGUGCAUGAACGCUGACUGCAGUGAGGCCUGACUCUGCUUGUUUGGAAGGAAGUCACCUUGAAUAUUAAUUCUAUAUAUCAUUGUCAGUGACCUGUGACAGCUGGCUGUAACAAACGAGGGUUUGAUUGAACAGAUGGGAGAGACGGUGCAUACUGAUGGUCAACACAGAUUUUUUAAAAAGUGCUUCUUUCACAAUCUGAAACUCCUCAGAGUCUGAGGAAUGCAGACCUGGACCUGUUUGUUUAAAUCGGAAUUACGAUCAGUUACAACCUGCUGACAUACAACAUAACAUUCGUCACCUGUCUAUUUUUCUGUGAGGGUCAUGUGACCACAGACAGACAGGUUUGUACACACCUGGGGUCUAAAACUUCUCACUCUGAGAAAUGUGCAUGUGUAAGCUUGCUGCGAGCGUCUGACUGGUUUUUCUAGGUUUUUCCUUUUUAUUCACGACUGCAUGUUUACUCAGCAGAGGGGGGGAGAUGAAAAGUGAGGGAGGGUUUUCAAACAGCUCAGACACAAACAGAGUCCUUCUCUAAAAUAGCAGUCUGUUUCAAACCAAGCAUUUAUGAAACUUUAAUAAAGCUCUAAGAUGAUCUUUUUCAUUUUAAAACAGGCCCCUAUUAAAUAAGAGGAGUUGAACUUUUGCCCUGAGGCCCUGCUCUGUCAGUGACUCAGACUGUGGGACACCAGCGGUGAGACUUGGUUAACUUGGUCUAUUGGAAUGAAACCUCUACGGAAGCCACUCAUGGCCCAAACAGCCAUGCCAGGCCCUGCAGAUGAACUAAACCCAAAUUCCAUUAACCGUAAAAUCUUUUUACUUAAUUCUAAAAAUAGUUCAUGAAACCGAAAUUUAUUAACGAAAAAUUAAAAAAUCAGAAAAAUUCAAACAAUUUUAAAAAACUAGUUCACCAAACAUGUAAACAAAUGCAAAAACUUUUAAAGAAUGUUUGAAAUUUUUGCCAACAAAGUAUGAAAUAUUUAAGCAUUUAUUUUUUUUUUUUUUGUCUGUCUAUGAAGAUUUUGGUCUAUGGUUUUGGUCCAUGUUUUUAUACAAAAAGUUUGGCUUUGGCAAAAUAUUUUAGUGUUUCAUUAAAUGUUUUUUAAGUUCCCUGAAAAUUCUUUUAAAGGUAUUUUUGCAAUUCAUGAUAAAUUUUAUAAAAUAUUAAUGUGAUUAGUGAAGUACACUGGUAUUUAAUCAAGUAUUUGUUCAUUUUUGAAAUACUUAAGUGUCAAUCCAAUCAGGACCACUGCUGAGAAGAGAGACAAAGUGACAUUUUCAGAAGCUGAAACAUCUCUUGACACUUUAACAUUUAAUCGACUGAAACAUUUGAUCAAUUGUCAAUAAACUUCUCAAAUAAUCCUCUUUGGGUUGGAAUGAUCCAGCCUUGUUAUAGCUGUCAAGACAGCUGAGUUAUACGGUACAACAUGAAAGUCCAGUCAGAGCUCCUGGUGUUGCUGAUGCUUGUUCUGAGUCUAAACUUGUGAUUGUUGCAACAGAGUGAGUACGGAAGCUGCUCAGCUGUGAGUUGAACAUAAAUAGAUGAUUCUGAGGUUAUUGAUUCUCACUGGUGAAGUUUUGUGGGAGCGGUGGGCAGCCGUCUUGAAGUCCCUCUUUUAGCUCGUACAGGAAGCUCAUGAUAGCUCCUGGCGAGCUGCUGAAAGACUGAACAGACAGAGGAGUCAGAGCUCCUCUCUAGUCUGCUGUGGUUUUUACACUGCUGACUCUCACCACAUCUUUCCUGUGACAACCAUAAAAAACAGAGCAACUCUUCAGCCUGCAGUCUGGUCAUGUGGUGACAGUGUUUACAGAGAAUCGUCUGAGGUGGAGAGGCUGGUGAUAGCACAGAUAUGCUGUCUCCAUAGUGAUUCACUUUGAAUGAGUGUGCAGUAUUGUUGCUGGCAGAAUAUCUGUGUUCAUUACAGAUCGCUCAGAUUUGUUUUGCAUUUGCUUGAAAAACUGUAAGAAGGAAGCUAAUGCAAAGAUACUGUUAACCUGCUUUCAAACACAUAUCAACAGCGCCACCUGCUGUAAAAGCAGUCCCAUUGUAAAGCAGUUGAUAAGAAGAUAGUCUUACUUCUCAGUGGAUUUAACAUUUAUCUAAUGAGUUUGUGGUCUCAGUCUCUGGUGUACAGUUUUCUUCGAUACAGCAUGAUGUUCAGUUCAGUCAGGACCACUUUUGUGUUUAUUAUCUGCAUGCAUAAACUUAAAUGCAGUGAUAUGGCUUUGUUCUGAGGGCAUUACACAUGUGUAUGUCGAAUGCCAAAGCCUGAGGCAGGGAGAGCAGCAGCAAAGACCCCCCAGGGUAGAGCUCCCUGCGUCUCCAUAAGCGCAAGUCCAAUGCCAAGCCAGAGGCAGAUAGAUCACACCUCCCCUCUGUUUUAUGUGCGUACAUGACAAGCCAAGGCAGGCAGAGCAGCAGCAAAGACCAAGGUGGAUUGCAGAGCGGUUUGCAGAGGUAGCAGGAAGAGUCAGCAGGCAAAGGAGUGUAAUGACUGUCAGCUGACAUUAAGAUCAGCUUGACUUUAUAACUUGCCUGAACCAUCUCUGCUGGGUCUUGUUAGUUAUGGUCCUAUUAGGAGCUGGGAUGAUAGCUAUGAUUGACAAGUCACUUUUAUGGUGACAAAAUCCUGAUUUGGACAACCUUCUAUGAUCAUCUCUUUUUCCAAGAUGGCAGCUGCCAGGGCAAACUUGAGGUUCCAAAAUGGUGUCUAUGACCCACAAAGUGGUGUUACAGUGUCUACCUCCUAUAUAAGGUCUACAGUUACCUCUGCUCAGCUUGGUUUGGGUAUUUAAGUUUGUAGGAGGUCUAUUGGAGCCUCAGUUUGCAUCGAUAUACAGUAUAUACAGUCUGCUCGGUUUCUUCAGGUUCAGUUUGGGAACAAAGUUCUGUAAACAGCUCUUCAUGAUUUGAAGAGCUCUCAUUGUAGCUCCGUAAAACAUUGAACUCUUGACUGACUGAUGUGUAGAGUCCCAAACAAAGAGUUCUUACACAGACCAGCAGAGUGUGCCCAGUGUGAAUAGUUUCCCCUUACAGUAGUCGGCCUGUCGGGGGGGAUAGGGUGUACAGCAUUGUGUUUGGAUGGCUGCUUCCUCUGUUUCCUCUGAUGAAAGGGGGACUGUUCACUGACUCUAAGAGACGCUAAGUCAAAGGGAGAACGAUAGAGACCUAACAAAGUUUUAGAAUGAAAGUGACAAACCUGUGUUCACACAUGGUCUCUUUUUUUCCAGGCAAACAUUAUAAUGUAAUGAUGAUGUGGUUCAGAGUGAUGAAACUGGCUUAAAGGUGACAGUCCCAGACCAUGGAGAGGUCAGACAGGAACUUCACCUGAAAGAUUAAAACUUAAUCUUUGUAGUUCCCGUGCCUAAACACAACUCAACACUUUGUUUUCCUUUGACCUUUUUGACCAACCUUGAAAAACAGCUGAUGAGGGGUACCUUAACAUGGACCUAACCUCCCGUAGAAAGCCCAGAAACAGACCUUGAAACAUCCACUGAAGGGUUUGCUUAAAUGAACCGAGCAACAUUUUUGAAGAUGCAGAAAACUUACAUUAUGAGUGCUGGUUCAGGGUACCUAAACACAGGAGCUCACAGACUCAAAGGUAUUGCUAUAUUAAGGGUACCUUCAAACAUGGAAUUGGUAUCCCCAAACAGCUGCCCCAGAGUAACUCAAAACACACCAUGUAGUAUGUUACAACACAAAGUCUUGUUUGGGGUACCUAAAAAAGAUAGAUGAGGGUACACAAACUCCAAGCCUGCACCUUUUAAGGCCUAUGCAUGGUUCUCAAAACAAACACAACAACACUAUGAAAAAUUAAGGUAAUAGACAGUGCAACCAUUGCUUCAGGGUACUAAACACAGACCUGCGGAUAAGUACCUCAAAACAGACAUGAAACUGAAAACUUAAAAAAAAUCAUCAUGAGUAAAUGAGGAAGGAAACUUCUCCAAAAACUGCUUCAGUGUUUUUACUACUAUUUAAAUGCCCCUCAAGGGUACCUAGAAACAUACAGAACUUAAUACCUGGAGUUCUCCAGACCUGACUUUGUAGUAUGUUAAAACUUUUUAUUUAAAAUGCUUCAGAGCUGCUGACGGGUACCUCGCGACAGCUGCUUUAGGCUUCCUUAAAAGAGACACAUAAGGGUACCUAAAAACAGAUGAACUGUACCUCAGAAAGCCUCUGAAGGGUAUCAUCAGAAUCUACUAAAGGGUACUGAAACAGACACCCAAGAUCCACAAAGGGAUGGAACAGACCUCAAAACACCUGCUAACUUGAAAUAAGGUUUAAAGGUACUUAAAGACACAUCUGAGUACUUGUAACACUAUCAGUUUUAUGCCACCAACAUCUCUAUCAGAGAACAGAACAUGUGAAACUCUGACCGACUGUGCUUUCAUUACUGACCAAGUUAAAUCAGAAAACUGUCAACAAUAAGAAACAUCUGUACAGAAAUGUUGUUUUUUUCCACAACAGAUACAUAAAAAAAACUGUAUAACUGACACUUAACUGAUGUCCGGGUAACCAAAGAAGAAACACUGAUAGAAAAACAGCUGCAGUCAUGACCAUUCAUUUAAGGCCUUAUUGGAUGCAGUCUUGUUAUGGAGGGCUGAGUGUAUUUAAUUUUGCUAAAUGUCACUUUACAUACUGUAUUAAUUAUAUCAGCCCACUCAUUCAGUCAGUGUUGAAUACCAUUCAGUUAGGGCUGGUCUAGGAUUCAGCAUUAUUGAUUAAACUCUAGUGUAAGGCUUUUGGUUUAUGUUCAAAUUUUUAAAACAAAAUAUGAUUUUGAAGAUCAUGUAAAGUAUUAAAAACAUUGUAAAACAUUUAAUUAUUUUCAGUGAAUCGCAAUAUGUAUGGAUGAUAACACAAUUCAGGUUUCAGUCAUGCCAUCCAAUACCCCAAACAUAAGUAUCAGUGUUUCUGAAUGAAGGUGGGUUAGACUUGAAUAACAGAAAUGUGGUACUUUCUGAUCAGCUGUUUAGUGACAUAAUUAUAUCAGGAGAAAAAGGACAAAAAAGAACAUUCAAAAGUAUCUGUUUUUAACAUUUAAAAUGUGAACAAUUCUGCAAUAUAUGUGGUAUUUGAAUAUUUCAUGUGAAAUAUUUGGGAAAGAAAGUUUUCUCUUAAGAAUAACAUGUGAAUCCAACUAAAAAUCUCCUGGACAUUUGCUGCAGAACAUCCAAGAACAAGAUAUUUUUCCUCACAAGUGGAUUUUUUAUAUUUCUUAUAUUUCACAUGUGAAACCAUUUGAAUUGUAAAUUUUUUUAAAUAUUUUACAUUAAAGAUUUGUUGUUUUUUGGGUGCAUCAACAAACUAUUCAAGGGCGCACCUAUCAAACAGCUGAAAUGUGAAUGAAUAAUUGGUACGUGUGGAUUUCAUAUUUCACAUGUGAAAUACUUGAAAGUCAAAAAAGGUUCCACUUUAUCAUGAUGGAUCAUGAUUUGAACAAUGAGCCUGUAAACAUUUGUUUCCCAAUGUUGCACAGGUGAAAUUUCAUUUUUUGUACAUUUCACAUGUGCCACAGCAAGAGAUUUCUUUGAAUUUUACAUGUCCAAGAAUUAAAAUGAUAAGAGAUGUGGAUCACAUAAUAGUUCAAAGAUAUGUUAUUUUCUAGUGGCACAUGUGUCAGACAAUUGACCAGGAGAUGUGUUUGUCAUAUGUGGCACAUGUGAAAUACCUGAAUUUUAAAAAAAUUUGAACAUACCACAGGAUGUAUUGAACAGUACAUGAUCUGAACAACUGAAAUAUGAAAGAUCCAAGUAUAAGUUCUUUACCACUUUUUAACAUGUGAAAUUUCAAUUGUGUUUCAUUUCACAUGUGAUCAUUUAAAGGGAGAUUUUAUUUUGUUUGUUUGUUCUCAACACGUCACAUCUGAAUGCAAGUGUUUUUUGGUAGUUUCACAUGUGAAAUAAUGGAAGUUAUCAGUGAUUUCGAAAGUUUUCCAUGUGAUACAUCUAAAGACAUACAGUAUGUUAUUUUUAUAUAUGAAACAUUUUAAGACCUCUGUGGUCUUAAAAUGAUUAAUCUGUUAAACAUGAUUAAAGCAGAAGGAAGUACAGAAGCGUGACAUUAUCGUUGAACAUUGAUGUAAAGAAAUCAUCAUUUACCUCAGCUUCACAUUUAUGUGUUUUUAUUUUAACUCAGAUAAGUAUGGGGCCUUUUAUUGGAUCUUUAAUUCCAUCUGUAUUUCUUGUUAUUCAGAUCUGCUGAGUUAGCGUUAAAGACACAGCAGUAACAGUGGCCUGAAAGUGUCUUUAACGUCUUUAAAGUCAUUAAAAUGUGAGGACGUUGUGGUCCUUUAUUUUCUGUUUUUAAGUCCCCAGUCACACAAACAAACUCAGUCUAAAUGAAACAGUGUGUUAUUUCCUGCCCACUCUCCUCACACACUCACACAGAAAUACUGAUAGGCUCAGUAUGAACUCCUCCAGUGUCUCUAAAACGGUACUGUGACUGUAUGUAGCGUGUUCCUCGUGUUCAAGGUUUCAUAUGUGAACAUGUUUGUUGUAUCAGGUGCAUCUCGUGUCUUCAGCUCUUCAUGGGCAGCAGCUCUGCUUCUCAGUGUGACUCACCUUCAUCAUGCUCAUUGUACUCAAACAGCUCCCCUCUGAGCUGCAGGUCAUCGCUAAGAGGAGAAACCUGAUGGAUCUGAUUUACUCUGAAGCUCUCACAGACUGAGCUGAAAGUCUCAGAGUUCAUUCACAGAGCAGCAGAGAGCUCCGGCUUGGAUUUUACUUGAAACUGUAUUUUUGUUGAAUUUGUAGUGAAUCACACUGACUGUGUGGACCCUUCAGUUUUUUUCUUGUACUGAAUAAAGAGCAACAGUUCUUAAACUUCAC